rnacentral:rRNA from 1 species
UACGUAGGUGGCAAGCGUUGUUCGGAAUUAUUGGGCGUAAAGGGCGCGUAGGCGGUUUGUUAAGUCGGCUGUGAAAGCCUGGGGCUCAACCCCAGAGGGUCGGCCGAUACUGGCAAACUAGAGUACGGUAGAGGGGGAUGGAAUUCCGCGUGUAGCAGUGAAAUGCGUAGAUAUGCGGAGGAACACCGAUGGCGAAGGCAAUCCCCUGGACCUGUACUGACGCUCAUGCACGAAAGCGUGGGAGCAAACAGG